rnacentral:rRNA from 1 species
UACGGAGGGGACUAGCGUUGUUCGGAAUUACUGGGCGUAAAGCGCACGUAGGCGGAUUUGUAAGUCAGGGGUGAAAUCCCGGGGCUCAACCUCGGAACUGCCUUUGAUACUGCAAAUCUCGAGUCCGGAAGAGGUGAGUGGAAUUCCUAGUGUAGAGGUGAAAUUCGUAGAUAUUAGGAAGAACACCAGUGGCGAAGGCGGCUCACUGGUCCGGUACUGACGCUGAGGUGGCGAAAGCGUGGGGAGCAAACAGG